rnacentral:SRP_RNA from 1 species
GUUCGACUCGGCGUACCCGCAUGAAAUGGCCUGCCAAGGGUAUGCACU